rnacentral:rRNA from 1 species
UACGUAGGGUGCAAGCGUUGUCCGGAAUUAUUGGGCGUAAAGAGCUCGUAGGCGGUUUGUCGCGUCUGCUGUGAAAACCUAGGGCUUAACCCUGGGCCUGCAGUGGGUACGGGCAGACUAGAGUGCGGUAGGGGAGACUGGAAUUCCUGGUGUAGCGGUGAAAUGCGCAGAUAUCAGGAGGAACACCGGUGGCGAAGGCGGGUCUCUGGGCCGUAACUGACGCUGAGGAGCGAAAGCAUGGGGAGCGAACAGG